CUCGCCGAGGAGCGCUGCAACGGGCACCGUCCCGCGAGGCUCGGCAGGGAGAGUAUCGUAUUAACGGCGCUCGUUCAUU
rnacentral:ncRNA from 2 species